AUGAUUGUUGACUCAACAUUUAUUUCGUGCUUGAGUUGGAGGGACCUCCCUCCAUCGAGUCAAGUAAUUCGCUAUCGGAAAUUUAGCCGCCGCGUAUCUCAUGCCAUGCUUCUUGUUUCUCCGAAUUGGUUCCGUCUGUCAGUCAAUCAAGAUUCGCCAUCAAGAGAGGGAAGAGCCUUGACUUUCGGAAUCGGCAAAGACCUUCUUGUACACGUCCUAGAGGGCUGCAUUCAUGGCAAUCAUCACUAG